GACGAACGCUGGCGGCGUGCUUAACACAUGCAAGUCGAACGGAAAGGCCCUUCGGGGUACUCGAGUGGCGAACGGGUGAGUAACACGUGGGUGAUCUGCCCUGCACUUUGGGAUAAGCCUGGGAAACUGGGUCUAAUACCGAAUAGGACCACGCGCUUCAUGGUGUGUGGUGGAAAGCUUUUGCGGUGUGGGAUAGGCCCGCGGCCUAUCAGCUUGUUGGUGGGGUAAUGGCCUACCAAGGCGACGACGGGUAGCCGGCCUGAGAGGGUGACCGGCCACACUGGGAAUGAUAUACGGCCCAGACUCCUACGGGAGGCAGCAGUGGGGAAUAUUGCACAAUGGGCGCAAGCCUGAUGCAGCGACGCCGCGUGAGGGAUGACGGCCUUCGGGUUGUAAACCUCUUUCAAUAGGGACGAAGCGCAAGUGACGGUACCUAUAGAAGAAGCACCGGCCAACUACGUG
rnacentral:rRNA from 1 species